rnacentral:rRNA from 1 species
GAUGAACGCUGGCGGUAUGCUUAACACAUGCAAGUCGAACGGAAUCCUUAGGGAUUUAGUGGCGGACGGGUGAGUAACGCGUGAGAAUCUGGCUUCAGGUCGGGGACAACAGUUGGAAACGACUGCUAAUACCGGAUAUGCCGAGAGGUGAAAGAUUAAUUGCCUGGAGAUGAGCUCGCGUCUGAUUAGCUAGUUGGUGGGGUAAGAGCCUACCAAGGCGACGAUCAGUAGCUGGUCUGAGAGGAUGAUCAGCCACACUGGGACUGAGACACGGCCCAGACUCCUACGGGAGGCAGCAGUGGGGAAUUUUCCGCAAUGGGCGAAAGCCUGACGGAGCAAUACCGCGUGAGGGAGGAAGGCUCUUGGGUCGUAAACCUCUUUUCUCAGGGAAGAAAAAAAUGACGGUACCUGAGGAAUAAGCAUCGGCUAACUCCGUGCCAGCAGCCGCCGUAACAC